CUCUUCUCAAAGUUUUACGUAAGAGUUUGUGAAAGGGAUUGGCCUUGCCUACAUGCCUCUCAUCACAAAUGAAAAUAGGCAACCCAUCUGAAGGACUGGUCUCACUUACACGGAAACUGUUUUACGUAAGAAGAGGAGGCUGGCCCAGCAAAGGUGUGGUUUUAUUUACAUCCAUGCCCUUUCCUUAUGAUUGGAGUGUGUUUGGAAGGUGUGGUCUCAUUUAUAUCCCGCCUCAACUGCCUUUGGCUUGCCUGAAUUCAACCCUUUCCUGUGGCUGGAAAAGGAACUUCUACAAGCAUAAUAAAACGGCUGUGUGAAAAACAUGACUCUCUUCUGCCUCUUUUUCUUCAGUGUAUGUGUUCCUGCUGGUAUGUACCUGAAAAGGGAAGGCCAUGUUCCUGGGGAGAGAGUUUUGGGUCUGUGUAGGUGGAAAGUGAACAGACAGUCCCUUUGAUGUGAAGCUCUGAUGUGUGACUGUGUCCAGAAGCACCAGGCAGAAAUGAUGAUUCCCCUGAGCCUGUUGUGCUGCAACUGAACCCUGAAGG